rnacentral:sRNA from 1 species
AUUUUUGUCUUUUCUUAUUUAAAAUGGUCUUUGUUAUUAUAAAUAAGAUUGAUCGUCGAUUUUUUUUUUUUAAAAAG